CCUACGGGUGGCAGCAGUGGGGAAUAUUGCACAAUGGGGGAAACCCUGAUGCAGCGACGCCGCGGGAGUGAAGAAGGAGUUCGGUAUGUAAAGCUCUAUCAGCAGGGAAGAAAAUGACGGUACCUGAGUAAGAAGCCACGGCGAACUACGUGCCAGCAGCCGCGGGAAUACGGAGGGGGCAAGCGUUAUCCGGAUUUACUGGGUGUCAAGGGAGCGUAGACGGCAGCACAAGUCUGGAGUGAAAUGCCGGGGCUUAACCCCGGAACUGCUUUGGAAACGGUGCAGCUAGAGUGCAGGAGAGGUAAGUUGCCUUCCUCGUGUAGCGGUUAACUGCGUAGAUAUUAGGCG
rnacentral:rRNA from 1 species